rnacentral:rRNA from 1 species
GACAGAGGUGCCAAGCGUUAGGCGGAAUCACUGGGCUUAAAGCGUGUGUAGGCGGACUUGUAAGUACCUUGUGAAAUCCCACGGCUCAACCGUUGAACUGCUUGGUAUACUGCUUGUCUUGAGCCACUUAGGGGCUACCGGAACAAAUGGUGGAGCGGUGAAAUGCGUAGAUAUCAUUUGGAACGCCAAUGGUGAAAACAGGUAGCUGGGAGUGUGCUGACGCUGAGACACGAAAGCCAGGGGAGCGAACGGG